ACGACCGUUUACUAUUUAAACCCCACCAGUAAAAAGAAAAAACAAAUUGACACUUCACCCGGCAGUUACUUUCUUCUUCCACCCGCUCCUCGUAAAAAAAAAUCUUCCACGGUUGCCGGUGGCCGGUUGGCGGGUGUGGGUAAAUAAACCGGCAACCGAUAACUCCCGUUGCCACCCCCUCCACCGACACCCUCUUUCACCGGUCACCGUCAAAUCCAAAACACCUUUUUGGGAUUAAUUAAUUGAUUAAAAAAUUCCGGAUCGCAGAUUUAAAUAAUUCUCCCACUCCUUAAUCCUUCCCGCACUUCUUCUUCUUCUUCAUUCAUCUUCAACUGCACAGAAAACCAGAGAAAGAAAAGAGUAAAGAUUUCGCAUUUAUCAGAGAGAGAGAGAGAGGAAAGCUGAUCCCCUAAGGAAAGUGGACCGUGGGUUUUCCUCUUCCGUCGCCAUCAGUCAUCGGGGUUCCCGCCGGAUUUCAGCCAUUUGCCUUUUUAACCUCCGGUCA
rnacentral:lncRNA from 1 species